UGCCCUGUCACAAUUAUAGCAUUAUGAUUCCACUUAUCCGCUAUGGCAACAUUCUGAGGAAUCCUGGGAAUUGCAGUUUAGAGAGGAUCACUAAAAUUUUUCAACAAGAGAACUCUACUGCUUCACCAAAUUGGCAUUACGAGAUGCAGAGUCGAUUUUAGGAAAUGGGGCUACAAAGCAGAGUCCACAACAUAGGAUGCCUUGUAAUGCAGGUUCGAAACAGCUAUCUAUCCAAGAAUUUAUAUAAUCUGAAGAGUCAGUUUGAUGUAGCAGUCUGAGCCCUGGAAUACAACUGUGGAGACCAGAGUCUGAAGGCCCAUUCAGCCAUGGAAACCCACUAAGGAAAGUCAAGGCAAACUCUUUCUGAACUAAUCUUUUCAGGGAAACUUUGCAAUAGGUUGACAUGUUUGAAAUAACAUGAAGCGAUACAUCAACAAAACAGAAACAAAAUUGUCAAGAUAGCUUUGCAAGGGCCCAUCGACUAAAUUUCCAGUGUUGCUCAGCUGAAGCAAGCCACAAAUAUGCAACCGAUUACACAAACACAUGCGCACAUGCAUCCAUUCACAAUGUACAUCCAUGGACAGUGUACACAUAUAUGCAAUGCGUGCACAUACAUGAAUCGUGGCACUGCAUAUACAAUGCAACUUUGAACUGAAUGUGGAUAUUCCAAAUUGGACAACAACGUCAAACUGUCCUUUAUAGAUGUGCAAAACAUUAAGAGGAUUCGGAUCAAUAUGUCUCAUCAUAAAAGGGGAAACAAGUAAUCUGGUGCUUCUUGCUCUUGGUCAGUCUGCUCUGCUGUCAAGGUUUUUGCUGAUAGGUAACCCCAAGUCCCCAGCAGAUUGUUGUAGUUGACUGAGAGGAACACAUAAACUUCCAUGUCUUUUUUGCUUUCAGCUUCAUAACUAGAACCUCCACUUCCUUUGUAUAUAAAGAGGCCAGUAUCAUGUUUGCCUUAAA